CCUUCCUUCCUUCUUUCUUUCUUUCCUUUUUUCUUUCUCUUCUCUCCUUCCUUCCUUCUUUCCUUCCUCCUUCCUUCCUUCCUCUCUCUUUCUUUCUUUUCGAGACAGGCUCUUGCUCUGUCACCCAGGUUGGAGUGCAGUGAUGCAAUAAUGACUCCCUGUAGCCUCAACUUCCCCAGCUUAAGUGCUCCUUCCACCUCAGCCUCCCUAGUAGCCAGGACUACAGGCACACACCACUAUGUCUGGCUAAUUUUUGUAUUUUUUUUUUGUAGAGAUGGGGUUUUGCCAUGUUGCUCAGGCUGAUCUCGAACUCCUGGAUUGAAACGAUCCUCCCCACGAGGCCUCCCAGAAUGCUGGGAUUAUAGGCGUGAGCCACUGUACUGGCCAAGGAUAAUUAUUUCGAAACGGGGUUCACAAACACAUGGAGGCUCCCAGAAGGUGGUGCCCAGGGAGGGCAUGGAAGCUCUGCACCCCUACCCCUACGUUGCCCUAUACAGCUCUUCAUCUGCAUCCUUUGCAGUAUCCUUUAUAAGAAAUCGGUAAAUGAAGCCGCCAGUAGGAAAUCUUGAUGAAGGAAAAGAGAAUUUCAGGCUUCCUGCAUUGUCUCAAAAGAGCCUGGCUGAAAGUCCCAGUGGAGAUGCCUGUAAUUGGCCAACGAGGGCCAGCAGCCGGGCCAGGGAUGCGUGCCAAUAAAUAACUCAAGCAGGCAAAACUCUCGGGGUUUUAUAAUUAUGUGAGAAGACCUAAGAUUUCUGUAAGGCAGGGGUCAGCAAAUUAAAAUUCUCCCAGGAGCCAAGGGCUUGUGAAUGCUUGUUUCUGAUAAUCUUGUUUACGUCCUGGGGUAAAUAAAUCUGUCUUUUGUUCUGUGUUAUUCAACUCUCAGCAAUGUUUGUAAUUAAAGUGGCAGAAGGUGGAGAAAUGAAUAAGUUCUUUAAUGGGCUCUGUUCUGGGUCACAUGUAGUAAGAAAAAAAGGCCCUCAUCAGCAGGGGUUGGGGUGGCCUGCUCUGCCCUGGGAAAUGGUGAUAAAACACUGGGCAGCUGUUGAUCAGGUUGCAAAGGGUAGGGAAUCCAUCAUCGUUAGCAUGAGCAGUGAGCACAGGCUGAGCCCCCACUGUCUGGGGCUCGGGUUCCCCUGAGAUAUGGAGAGAAGCAGAGGGAACGUCUGGUUUCAGAAGUUGCCUCAUGUCAAGAAUCUCCAGGCAGAAGUGUCACUCAUCCUCUGCUUUUCCUCAAGCUCGACUCUGGGGGUUGCCCAGAGGAUGAAACAGAGCAAACAGAAUCCUACCAGACAGUCAGAUAAUCCUGGUUUAUAACAGGGUGUGACAGAAUUAGGUUAAUGAACACACAACACAAAUAAUAACAAUAACAGAUACCACAGCUAAUGCAUGUUGAGCGAGGCACUGUGUGAAGUGCAACAUAUACGUGAUUUCUUUUAUUUUUUCCUUUUUGUUUUUGAGACAGGGU